GAUGAACGCUGACAGAAUGCCUAACACAUGCAAGUCGACUGGUGGCGGUGGGGGGCGUAACGCGUAUAGAACUUGCCUUACCGGUAGGGAGAAGAUUUGGAAAGGAAUGCUAAUACCUAACACUGGGGGAGAGCUUUGCGUCUCAGUAGCUCGUUGGAGAGGUAACGGCUCACCAAGGCGAGGAUGAGUAGCCGGCCUGUGAGGGUGAUCGGCCACAAACGGACUGGGACGCGACCCUUAGGCAAUCGGGAGGCAGCAGUGUAGAAUAUAGGAAAACGUGCCAAAGUCUGAUCAAGCAAUUCGGGGUGCACAAUACUGUUUUCGGGAUGUAGGUUGCUUUCAGUAGAAAAGCGGUACCAGCAGAAGAAGUGACGGCUAACUACGUGCCAGCAGCCGCGGUAAUAC
rnacentral:rRNA from 1 species